GUUUCUGUAGUGUAGUGGUUAUCACGUACGCCUCACACGCGAAAGGUCCCCUGUUCGAAACCGGGCAAGGAACA
rnacentral:tRNA from 1 species